rnacentral:lncRNA from 1 species
CAUUGCGAAAGAUAUUGUGAGAACUGCAAGGAAAUGACAGCUUACUUUGGCAAAUGGCCCGGAAUUAGAGGACUACUCAGCUUCUCAGCAACUUUCCUUUGCUUAAUGAUCUUUAGAUAUAAGAAGGAAGGAAGAGAGGCCGAAAAACAUAGAGAUGAAGACCACUCAGUUUCCCAAUUGCAUGCCAGAUGUCAAAUUGACAGCAAUAGGUAGGUAAAGAAAACUUUAAAAAAUUACACUUUUUAAAAAUUUGCUUAAUCUGUGUAAUAUAUAAUAUUACUGGCAUAGUAGGCUUAAAAUGGGUGAAUUAUUCCGAUAUUUUUGAGAGGAGUAUUGCUGCAAAUUUGAAUAUUUAAAUCUGGAUACCUCUGGACACGUGGUGUUGUUUUUGUUGUUAUAGGAGUUCUUUCAGGCGUGAAUGUUAAUGUAGUUUUUUUCGUGUGGGACAGGAACUCACUCAGUAGAUCCUUCAGUGGAUCCUUCGGGUUUAGCGUCACGCUAUGUCCCUCCCCUGAUGAUCCCAAUGAAAGGCUGUACUGUUCUUGAUACAGCCUCAAAUCAGCACAUCUUACAAACCGGUAAAAUAUCGUGCGAACUUCCAUCUCAUCUCCAAAUUUAUGCUUAUGUCUCAAAUUACUGAAAAAGUGAUAGCUUCACAAUUGAUUGAACACAGUUGCAAUAACUUGUCUCAGGGUGAUCUUCCCAUCAGUAUUUAAGAACUUUUAUGGUCCGGAGACUGCUUUAGUUAGAGAAUGUAAUUAUGUCAUCAUAGAUAUCGAUAGGAAUAAGACAGUUAUUGUAAACACAGCACCCAAGUUUGGCAACUCAAAGUUUGGGAAAGAGGUUUUUGAAAGAAAUCAAAAGAAAGCUUGAGAGCAGUCUUGAGAAAGUUGCUGUAUAUUGGUUGCUUUAUCAAAGUUACACCCACGGAAACUCACCAAUAUUGAAAACAGAGAAUACUUUAGUCCCUAGCUAUAACUUUACCUGUGAUGGUAUGGACAUCGUAUCUACCAAUUUGACUCAUACUUGAUCUUAUGCUGGUAUUGUUUAAAGAGUUACUUUUCAUUUAAAUGAGUGUCACUCAUUUCUCUUUGCUUUGCUUGAACAGUGCAUUAGAAAAAAACUCCACUGUUUGUGUUGUUACUAAACAGUUUAGGGCUCUACACAUGCCUGAUUUUUAAGCACUUACACUGGCUCCCUGUAGAGCAGCAAAUUAUUAUCAAAGUUCAUUGCUUACACACAAGGGAUUGAAUUAUCUGGCACUUGCAUAUAUCAGUCAUCUAUUGGUUCCUCUAAUGCCCUCUAUAAGUAUCUUUUAGAAUUUUAAAAGACCAAGUUGAAAACCUAGGGUAACAGGGCUUUCUUAGUUGCUACACCAAGGCUAAGGAAUAAUUUACCUUAAGAAAUUUUAACAAGGCCAUCAGUCAGUGUCUUCAAAUCACUUUUACAGUAAAUUGUGCGAGUGUAAAGACUCAUCUCUUAAGCACUAUGUAUGGAAAGUUUUACAUUAUCAGCUAUUUUGUAAAAAGGGAUACAGAUACAAGUAUAUGAAAUUGAUUAUAUGAGUGGUGGUUAAUUAAAGGAUUGAUCAAUCACAUGAUAAAUUAUAAUGAUUCUCAUCAGCUGAUUUUCCUUUUGAAAAACCCACUUUCUUGUGAGGUGUCUUAGCUGGAGUGGCUUUGCAUUCGAUACAGUGUGGUAAAUUUGGUGCAGAGAAUGUUUAUUGCUGAGGAGAUUUUGUUAUAGGAAUGAGGGUGGACAUGUUUUAAAAAUUUUGAAUUCCAUUACCAGGUAUCAUGCCAUCAUAUCAAAUUGGGUAAACAUACAUAGCAACAUAAUUUCCAUGGUAAAAUGUCAAACUUUGCAGUAGCAAACAAGGGGAUUGUGUGCAUAUAUUGGUAGAGUCACAAAAGAUGAAUCAGCAAAAUACUCAAUGUAGAGUAAGAAGCAUGUGAUUGUAGAUAAGGUGUCAUGAGGGGUCUAUAGAUAUUGUGAAGAUCGUGUCGUACAUUUUGAGGUGAUCUUUUGAUUAAGGUUAUAAUUUUACUAGUUUAAAAGGUAACAUGAAUUAGAUGAUUCUUGUAAGAUAUUUUAAUCUUAAUUAUAUUUCCAAGCUAAUGGAAGUUUCCAUGCAGUCAGGGUAAGAUUCAUCUUUUGUUUGCAAUCAAAAAUAGUGAUUUUUAGUUGAUAAUUAACUUUUCAUUAAGCAAGGCAAGAGUGGGUGUCAUUGAAAUUUGUAUUUUGCUGGUUUUAUUUCUGAAGAUGGAGGCAAUACUUUGCAAAAAACUUAGUGUUAGUUUAGUUUCUUAACAAUUUGGCAAGAAUAUUGGUUGUUUCCACUCAUUUUAGAGACUAUUGUAAAAUUAUUUUUCUUUGUCACUUAUUUUGGGAAGGUGGCAUUUUCUUUGUUCAGGCUCUGCAAAGUUUUAUUGAAGAAUACCUUAGACUGAUAGCACUCUUGUAAAAUUGUGACAGGGUAAGUCUUGGUGGACUUGGAUUUGGCAAUUUUAAUUACUGGAUACUUCACUAGGGAUCUGUAUUUCCCAUUGCACUUUGAUGCAAAGCUCUAACCAAAGUGUUGGAUCGGAUCUGAGCCGUUAUACAGCUGGAUGGGGAAGUGUCCCAGAUGAUCAUUACCCAGAAAAUAUGGUUUCACAAAAAAAUAUUUCUGUCUACCAGGUUCACCAUAAAAGCAUGAGCCAAACAUCUUGAGCCAAAAAAUGACAGUGAAAAGUAUUGACAGAUUGAUGAUGACUGACAACAACAAUGCAAAUGAAAGUUUAAGUUCUUUCCAUGUAGCUGUAUAGUACGUAAUAAUUUACAUACAGUAUCAAUCUGGCAGACGUUUUCACUCGCAGGUAAGUUUUGUAGAAACUGUCUUUUUCAGGUAGGCAGUGGUUUCUAUGAAGAGUAGUUUAUGAUGUCAACGGGGAUGGAAGGUUACAAGAUGAUGUGUUGAUAUACUGAUUACAGAUUUCUGAAUGAAGAAAAUAAUAAAGAUUGGACCUAAGAAAGGAUCAAUUAGGAAAAGCCAUUUUGAAGACUGGCAUUUCGUGUUCCUCAGGUGAUUAAAUAUAUUUGUCAUGCAGUUCACUUCAGAUUGCUAGAGAGGAAAAAAAAGACCGUAAAAAGUAUUUUUAGUCUCUCUUGAAAAAAUUAAACGUUUAUUCUGAUAGCUUCAACGUUAUUGGUUUUAUUCAAUUUAUUUUAAAUAAAAAAAGACCAUGGAAGGGAAGGCAAAAAAUUGGGGUAAACGUUGAAAUGACUCAAAUUCUUGGCCUUGAUUUCAUUUCUCUGUUUUGCAGAUUUGUUCAACCACCCAAAGCUGGAUACCAAGAAACACGAUCACCUUAAACAUAAAACUAGAGACAAAUAUCAAUCUUAGAAAGAAAGCAAGAUUGGAUCGACCCCCAAUUCAGAGAAUAAA